rnacentral:rRNA from 1 species
GGCCGCGGGAAUUCGAUUACUCCUACGGGAGGCAGCAGUGGGGAAUUUUGGACAAUGGGGGCAACCCUGAUCCAGCAAUGCCGCGUGUGUGAAGAAGGCCUUCGGGUUGUAAAGCACUUUUGUCCGGAAAGAAAUCGCGCUGGUUAAUACCUGGCGUGGAUGACGGUACCGGAAGAAUAAGCACCGGCUAACUACGUGCCAGCAGCCGCGGUAAUACGUAGGGUGCGAGCGUUAAUCGGAAUUACUGGGCGUAAAGCGUGCGCAGGCGGUUUUGUAAGACAGGCGUGAAAUCCCCGGGCUUAACCUGGGAAUUGCGCUUGUGACUGCAAGGCUAGAGUGCGUCAGAGGGGGGUAGAAUUCCACGUGUAGCAGUGAAAUGCGUAGAGAUGUGGAGGAAUACCGAUGGCGAAGGCAGCCCCCUGGGACGUGACUGACGCUCAUGCACGAAAGCGUGGGGAGCAAACAGGAUUAGAUACCCUGGUAGUCCACGCCCUAAACGAUGUCAACUAGUUGUUGGGGAUUCAUUUUCUCAGUAACGUAGCUAACGCGUGAAGUUGACCGCCUGGGGAGUACGGUCGCAAGAUUAAAACUUAAAUGAAUUGACGGAAUCACUAGUGAAUUC